GAUGAACGCUGGCGGCGUGCCUAAUACAUGCAAGUCGAGCGAACAGAUGAGGAGCUUGCUCCUCUGACGUUAGCGGCGGACGGGUGAGUAACACGUGGAUAACCUACCUAUAAGACUGGGAUAACUUCGGGAAACCGUAGCUAAUACCGGAUAAUAUAUUGAACCGCAUGGUUCAAUAGUGAAAGACGGUUUUGCUGUCACUUAUAGAUGGAUCCGCGCCGCAUUAGCUAGUUGGUAAGGUAACGGCUUACCAAGGCAACGAUGCGUAGCCGACCUGAGAGGGUGAUCGGCCACACUGGAACUGAGACACGGUCCAGACUCCUACGGGAGGCAGCAGUAGGGAAUCUUCCGCAAUGGGCGAAAGACUGACGGAGCAACGCCGCGUGAGUGAUGAAGGUCUUCGGAUCGUAAAACUCUGUUAUUAGGGAAGAACAAAUGUGUAAGUAACUAUGCACGUCUUGACGGUACCUAAUCAGAAAGCCACGGCUAACUACGUG
rnacentral:rRNA from 1 species